rfam:Nicotiana sylvestris Nsyl_contig133741, whole genome shotgun sequence.
UGGACAGAUUAUUGUAUUCGACUGUAUUCACGACGUGAAACAAGGGAUUAUAUUUUUUUAAACGGAAAGUGAAUCAAUUAACAUAAUAGACUCCU